AAUCCCCCAGCCUUAUCAUAACCCAAUAAUACUACUGAACUGCCCUAUACCUCUAUAGGAGUAUUUAUGUUAAAACUAGUAACACAGAAAGACUUUCUCUUACUUGUAAGUGUAAAUCAAAUGAAUACCUCAUUGAUACCUAUUCAGCUAGAAUUUUACGUAGUAACCCCCCCCCCCCCCGAAAAUCCUACGAACCCCACUGUUAAUCUCACACAAGAACAAGAAAGAAAGAUUUAAAGACCCGGAAGGAACUCGGCAAAUACUAGUCCCGCCUGUUUACCAAAAACAUCGCCUUUUGUCUCCUAUAAAAGGUUACGCCUGCCCAGUGACAAUUGUUCAACGGCCGCGGUAUUUUAACCGUGCAAAGGUAGCGUAAUCACUUGUCUUCUAAAUAAAGACCAGUAUGAACGGCGCCACGAGAACUAAGCUGUCUCCCGCCUCUAAUCAGUGAAACUGAUCCCCCCGUGCAGAAGCGGGGAUAAAGCCAUAAGACGAGAAGACCCUGUGGAACUUAAAAUUUACAAUCAUCUGCCUUUAACUCACCCUUCAAUGGCACAAACCUGAUUUGUAUUUUCAGCUGGGGCAUCUAUGGAGAAAAAACUAUCCUCCAUGAAGAAUUUAACCCAAGAGCUACCCCUCUAAGCAUUAAUACCCUUAACCUUACCUGACCCAAUUAUAUUGAUCAACGGACCAAGUUACCCCAGGGAUAACAGCGCAAUCCACUUCUAGAGUUCCUAUCGACAAGUGGGCUUACGACCUCGAUGUUGGAUCAGGGCAUCCUAGUGGUGCAGCCACUACUAAAGGUUCG
rnacentral:rRNA from 1 species